AAGCCCAUUUGGCUUUGUGCCGAGGUUAAAACUCGGGCUCGUUCAUUCAUUGAAUUCACUUGCCCAGAAUUCGUCUUGUCGCAUCGGUAGAAGCCCAUUUGGCUUUGUGCCGAGGUUAAAACUCGGGCUCUUUCAUUCAUUGAAUUUACUUGCCCAGAAUUCGUCUUGUAGCAUCGGUAGAAGCCCGUUUGGCUUUGUCCCGAGGUUAGAACUUGGGCUCUUUUAUUCAUCGAGCUUACUUGCCCAGAAUUCACCUUGUCGCAUCGGUAGAACCCCAUUUGGCUUUGUGCCGAGGUCAAAACUCGGGCUCUUUCAUUCAUCGAACUUACUUGCCCAGAAUUCGUCGUCGCAUCGGUAGAAGCCCAUUAGGCUUUGUGCCGAGGUUAAUACUCGGGCUCUUUCAUUCAUUGAAUUUACUUGCCCAGAAUUCGUCUUGUAGCAUCGGUAGAAGCCCGUUUGGCUUUGUCCCGAUGUUAGAACUUGGGCUCUUUUAUUCAUCGAACUUACUUGCCCAGAGUUUGUCUUGUCGCAUCGGUAGAAGCCCAUUUGGCUUUGUGCCGAGGUUAAAACUCGGGCUCUUUCAUUCAUCGAACUUACUUGCCCAGAAUUCGUCGUCGCAUCGGUAGAAGCCCAUUAGGCUUUGUGCCGAGGUUAAUACUCGGGCUCUUUCAUUCAUUGAAUUUACUUGCCCAGAAUUCGUCUUGUAGCAUCGGUAGAAGCCCGUUUGGCUUUGUCCCGAUGUUAGAACUUGGGCUCUUUUAUUCAUCGAGCUUACUUGCCCAGAAUUCACCUUGUCGCAUCGGUAGAAGCCCAUUUGGCUUUGUGCCGAGGUUAAUACUCGGGCUCUUUCAUUCAUUGAAUUUACUUGCCCAGAAUUCGUCUUGUAGCAUCGGUAGAAGCCCGUUUGGCUUUGUCCCGAGGUUAGAACUUGGGCUCUUUUAUUCAUCGAGCUUACUUGCCCAGAAUUCACCUUGUCGCAUCGGUAGAAGCCCAUUUGGCUUUGUGCCGAGGUUAAAACUCGGGCUCGUUCAUUCAUUGAAUUUACUUGCCCAGAAUUCGUCUUGUCGCAUCGGUAGAAGCCCAUUUGGCUUUGUGCCGAGGUUAAAACUCGGGCUCUUUCAUUCAUUGAAUUUACUUGCCCAGAAUUCGUCUUGUAGCAUCGGUAGAAGCCCGUUUGGCUUUGUCCCGAGGUUAGAACUUGGGCUCUUUUAUUCAUCGAGCUUACUUGCCCAGAAUUCAUCUUGUCGCAUCGGUAGAAGCCCAUUUGGCUUUGUGCCGAGGUUAAAACUCGGGCUCUUUCAUUCAUUGAA
rnacentral:lncRNA from 1 species